CAGGAGGCUGUGGGAUUGUGCUCUACGCUGGGCUGCCCUGUAUUUCCAUCCUUCUCCUGAUACAGCUGUUGAUCUUGCUCUGGAGAAAGUGCCCCGUCAGAGGGAGAGCUGUGCAAAGAGAGAAGCCAAUACCUAUGAGACAGAACCCACAGACUGAAUAUGCGACUCUGCCGUACAACAGAAACGCUCCUCUGUGACUGAUGCAGUCUCACAAAAGUGGUUUAUAUUUUUUAAAACAAGAGAUGAAAAAAGAAAGAACAAAAGUGAGAGAAAUAUGGAAAGUCUCAUGUUUGUAAUGGGCUAUGAGGUGAUGUGAGUUUGCUUAAAAUACAACCACUUCCACGGUCA